GACGGCCCUCCACCAAGUGUGAAAAAGUUCGGAAUACAAAUCGAACACUCGAAACUCGCAAUUUGCAAAGGUCCAGUGUGCUACAUUCACCCCUCCUAAAAAGGAGUUUCGUCCGCGAAACUCGAAAGCAAAAGCAUACCUCAAGGCUCCAUCUGAAAAAGAUGGGGAUAGCGCUCCUGCAGCGCACUCUCUAGCUCCCACGUGGCCUCGCGCUCUGCGUGGUUGCUCCAAAGAACCUUCACAUACGGAAUAUCCCGAUUCCGUAGCUUUUUCACCUCGCGAGCCAAAAUCUUCACGG
rnacentral:lncRNA from 1 species